rnacentral:rRNA from 1 species
AGCGAACGCUGGCGGCAGGCUUAACACAUGCAAGUCGAGCGGAUGUAGCAAUACAUCAGCGGCAGACGGGUGAGUAACACGUGGGAACGUACCUUUUGGUUCGGAACAACACAGGGAAACUUGUGCUAAUACCGGAUAAGCCCUUACGGGGAAAGAUUUAUCGCCGAAAGAUCGGCCCGCGUCUGAUUAGCUAGUUGGUGAGGUAACGGCUCACCAAGGCGACGAUCAGUAGCUGGUCUGAGAGGAUGAUCAGCCACAUUGGGACUGAGACACGGCCCAAACUCCUACGGGAGGCAGCAGUGGGGAAUAUUGGACAAUGGGCGCAAGCCUGAUCCAGCCAUGCCGCGUGAGUGAUGAAGGCCCUAGGGUUGUAAAGCUCUUUUGUGCGGGAAGAUAAUGA